GCAAUGGUGGUUCAGUGGUAUAAUUCUUGCCUUCCAUGCUGGUGAAUUGGGUUCGAUUCCUGGCCCAUGCA
rnacentral:tRNA from 1 species